rnacentral:ncRNA from 2 species
AAAACUGAAUAUAUUUUAGGUGUUUCACGUGAAGCUUAAUUGGGAAAAUGGUGAAAAUCCAUCACAGCCCCCGCUACUGUAAAUGCAGAUGAAAUCGAUGAAGUCCACUGGAUUUUUCUGGGAAGGAAUCGAGAGUAAAAGGAAGCAUAAGUCAGGAGACCAGCCUAAAGACCAGUAACUAC